UUGUGGGACAUCUAUCUCAUAACUUUCCUUUGGUUUGUUAGACAUAGAUUUCCUUUAGUUCUUUGAACAUGUUUAAAAUAAGCGAUUUGUGAAUGUGGUUGUUAAGUCUAAUGUCUGUGUUUCCUUGAACACUUUAUAUUGACUGUCUUUGUUUUCCCAUGUAUAUGAACGAUUCUUUCUUUUAAGUCUUUUUUUUUUUAAGUGUUACUGUUUUUUUGUUGAAAACUAAAUUUUUAAUAAUGUGGAAGCUUUGAUAAUCAGAUAUUCUCCCCUCCCCAGUGUUUGUUGUUAUUACUGUUUGUUUCUGUUUGUUUAUUCUGAACUAAUAUAAUAAACAAAAGUGAAUUGAGUAAAAUCUGCUUUCUUUAAUAUGGGUGACCACUGAAGUCUCUACUCAGUGAGCUUAGUGUUCAACUAAUAAUUCAACAGAGGUGUCCUUAAAUACCUGGAAUCAGUGAGUCUCCCAGUUUUUGUUUAGAAGGUCUGUGUGUGUUGGGGCCUUCAGCAUUCAGAAGAGAAUUUUGUAACUUUGCCUUACUCUUAACUUGCUGCUUGUGUAGAGCUUCUCGUUAGCCAGAGGUGAGUGCUUAGGGCCUUCUCAGUUUUUUCCUGAGCAUGUGCACAUACGUGUGCUUACAUAUGACCAUCUAGAUUCUCAGGAAUAUUUUGGAACUUUUCGAAGCACCCAGUUUUCUUUUUAAGCUCUUUUGGUUAGCUUAUUGUUUGUCUCAAGUGUUAUCCACUGCCUUGGUCAGCUGCAAUAUGAAACAAUUGCCUCUGAUAGUUUUUGACAAAUACCCUUGGGGCAAAGUUUUGUUUUGUUUUGUUUUGUUUUGUUUUGUUUUGUUUUGUUUUGCAUGGAGGGAGCUCUGAGGUCAAAUUAAGAUAGCUUUGGGAGUGGGGUCUUCCAGGAAACCACCAGACUGUCAAAUAAUGACAGUCCUCUGGGAAUGUAGUAGUAGAGGCAGUCCACCUUCUUCUGCCCCCCUGAUAGAGCUGCCAGGCUGUUAGUUUUCACCAGGUUUGUGGACUGUUGACUUUCAAAGCUACUAUAAAGCUGGAGUGGGAGGCUGGGAAUAGGGCAAAAUAAAAAUGCCACAGUUUGCUGGUCUUACUAAAAUAUAGCUAUCUUUCUUGAAUAAAUUCUCCCCAGAUUGCUGCGAGCCUUUGGUUAAUUUCUAGUUUGGAAAAUGUUGACACUAUUUUUGCCAGUGUUCUUCUUGGUUUAAUGGAGAUGAUGCUUUUCAAAUGUCCUUAUUUUGAUAUUUUUGCUUAUGUCUUACUGUUGAGUUUUGAGAGUUCUGUAUUCUGUUUUAGAUGGCAGUCUUUUGUUAUUGUAGUUUACAAAUACUUUCUCCAACUCUGUCACUUUUUAAUCAUCUUAACAGGAUCUUUCGAAGGGUAAAAGAUUUUUGUUUUGAUGAAGUCCAGUUUAUCAAGUUUUUUCUUUUGUGGAUCAUGCUUUUGGUGUUAUUUCUAAGAACUCUUUUUCUAGGUCUAGAUCCUGAUGAUUUUUCUGUCUUCUACAGGAUUAAUAGUUUUUCAUUUUAUGUUUAAAUCUAUAAUCCAUUUUGAGUUAAUAUUGGUAUAGAGUGUAAGAUUUAAGUUGGUAUCCUCUUUUUUCUUCUGUCUGUAUAUUCAGUUGCUCUAGCACCAACUGUUGAAAAGACAUUUUUUUCUCUGUUGAAUUGCUUUUACACUUUUGUGAAAAAUUCAGCUAGCCAUCCUCAAUAGGGCUUUGAGGAGGUUUUAGAAAAUAUAGAAGGAAUACAAGGAGUUAAUUCAUUUUCUCAUGUAAGGUUCGGUCAGAUCCAAAGUGAAAAAUCCACAUACAAGUAUAACUACAUUGUUUAGAAAUCAGGGGUAGGGGAGGGAUGGUUAGAGAAGGGGUGGUGGGUAGUCUUGAUUUUCAUAACAAGCUUUAAUUGAAAUCUUAAAAUAAUGUAUUUGUAUAAUUUUAAUUAAAGUAGAAACAAAAUACUCUAGUAUAAUGCCAAUGCUUUACUCAGGGGAAAAUUCAAAGCCUUAAAUGUCUAUAUUUUUAAUAUUGUAAUGCUUUUAUGUGGAAAAAAAUACUCAGAGUAACACAUGGUAAAAAUGUACAACUUUAGAAUUCAGAAGUGCAUACCUUCUUAACCCCUAGUCAAGAAUUUAACACAUUGCCACUCCUUCCACUCUGUUCCCUCCCAAUCAGCCUCCCCUUUGUCUUUGGGAGGCUACCAUCCCACCUUUUAUGUAGUCACUUUUUUGUUUUAUAUUUUUAUUACUUAAAAAUACAUUUUUAAGGUAUAUAUUUUUUCCUAUUAAUGAAAUUUGCAUAAUUGGAUCUUGGCUUUUUUCAGCAUUAUUUGAGUCAUUUAUAUUUUCACAUAAAAUUGUAGUUCAUUCAGUUUCAUUGCUCUACAGGCAUACCUCAUUUUAUCACACUUUGUUGAGCCUUGCAAGUGCUUUUUUUUAUUUAUUUAUUUUACAAAUUUCAGGUUUGUGGCAACCCUGUAUCUGCAAGUCUGUCAGCACCAGUUUUCCAACAGCAUUUGCUUUGCGUCAUGUUUUUGUGUCACAUUUUGGUAAUUCUCACAACAUUUCACACAUUUUAUUGCUAUAUUUCUUACGAUGAUCUGUGACCAGUUAUUGUUGAUGUCACUACUAUAAUUGCUUUGGGGUGCCAGAAACCACCAUGGCAUGGUAAACUUAAUAAAUGUUGGUUGUGUUCUGAUUGCUCCACUGACUGGCUGCCUGUUCCCGUUUCUCUUCCUUUAUUUGAGCCUUCCUAUUCCCUGAGACACAAUAUUGAAAAUAGGCCAAUUAAUAAUCCUACAAUGGCUUCUAAGUUUUUAAGUGAAAGGAAGAGUUGCAUGUCUCUCACUUUAACUCAGAACCUGGAAAUGAUUAGGCUUAGUAAGGAAGGCAUGUCAAAAGCUGAGAUAGACUGAAAGCUAGGCCUCUUUGUCAGUUAAUGUGUGAAUGCACAGGAAAAGUUCUUGAAAGAAAUUAAAAGUGCUACAUCAGUGAACACAUGAAUAAUGAGAAAAUGAAACAGCCUUAUUGCUGAUAUGGUUGAAAGUUUUAGUGGUUUGGAUAGAAGAUCAAAUCAGCCACAACAUUCCCUUAAGCCAAAGCCUUAUCCAGAGCAAGGCCCUUCAGGGGAGAUAGCUCAGGGAUAGAGCAUUUAAUUACAGAGCAAAUCCCUCUCUUCAAUUCUGGAAAGGCUGAGAGGUGAAAGGCUGCAGAAAAACUGUUUGGAGCUAGCAGAUUUUGGUUUGUGAGGUUUAAAGAAAGAAGCCUUCUUUAGAACAUAAAAGUGCAAGGUGAAGCAGCAAGCGCCGAUAUAGAAGCUGCAGCAAGUUAUUCAGAAGAUAUCUAGGUAAGGUAAUUAACAAAGGUGGCUACACUAAAUGACAGAUUGUCAUUAUUGACAAAGCAGCCUUCUAGUGGAAGAAGAUGCCAUCUAGGGCUUGCAUAGCUAGAGAGGAAAAGCCAUUACCUGGCUUCAAAACGUCGAAGAACUGGCUGACUUGUUGGGGGCUAAUGCAGCUGGUGAAACCAGUGCUCAUUUAUUAUUCUAAAAAUCGUAAGGCCCUUAAGAAUUACAUACAUCUACUCUGCCUGUGCUCUAUAAAUGCAAUAACAAAGCAUGGUUGAGAGCACAUCUUUUUAUAACAUGUUUCAUUGACUAUGUUAAGCCUACUGUUUGACCUACUCCUAGGAAAAAAGAUUUCUUUGUAAAUAUUACUGACAAUACACCUGGUCAAGAGCUCUGACAAAGAUGUGUAAUGAGGUGAAUGUUGUUUUCAUGUUUGUUAACACAACAUCCAUUGUGCAGCCCAUGGAUCAAGGAGUAAUUUCAAGUCUUGUUUAAAAAGUACAUUUUGUAAGACUAUAGAUGCCAUAGUGAUUCCAAAGAUAGAUCUGAACAAAGUAAAUUGAAAACCUAGAUUCAGGGGUGCUGGGGUAGCUCAGUCAAUUGAGCAUACGACUCUUGAUUUCAACACAGGUCAUGAUCCCAGGGUCAUGGAAUCGGGCCCUGCAUUGGGCUCUGCACUGAGCCUGUAGCCUGCUUAAGAUUCUGUCUUUCCCUCUGCACCUCUCCCCUGCUUGCGUGCGUACUCUCUCUUAUCUGUCUCUAAAAUAAAAAAAUAAAACCUGGAUUCACCAUUUUAGAUGCCAUUAAGAACAUUCAUAAUUCAUGAGAAGCGGUCAUAAUAACAACAUGGACAGCAAUUUGGAAGAAGCUGAAUUCAACCCUCGUGGAUGACUUGGAGAGAGGUUCAUGACUUCAGUGGAGAAAGUAACUUCAGGUGUGGUGUAUAGCAAGACAACUAGAAGUGGAGCCUGAAGGUGUGACUGAAUGGCUGCAAUCUCAUGAUAAAGCUUGAACAGGUGAAGAGUUGCUUCAUAGGGAUGAGCAAAGAAAGUGCUUUUUAAAGAUGCACUCCAGUCCUGGUGAAGAUGCUGUGCAGAUUGUUGAAAUGACAACAAAGGAUUUACAUAUUAUAUAAACUUGAUAAAGCAACAGCGGGGUUUGAGAGGACUGGCUCCAAUUUUCAAAGAAAUUUUACUGUGGCUAAAUUGUUUUCAAACAGCAUCACUUGCUACAGAGAAAUAGUUCAUGAAAGGAAGACUCAUUUGAUGUGGCAAACUUGUCUUAUUUUAAGAAAUUGCCGCAGCCACCCAACCUUCAGUAGCCACCACCCUAAUCAGUCAGCAUCUAUCAACUCUGAGGCAAGACCAGCAAAAAGAUUAUGACUCAUUGAUAACUCAGAAAAUGUACUUGGAAACAUCCUGGGAAGGAUUCCCAAUUUCCCACACUGGCCUGCCUCCUCAUCUAUGAACAAAUUGCUGUGGCUGCCUGAGGAAUUCUCAUCAGCCUGGAUGCCACUUGUUCAUCCCUCAGUCCGGAGGCCUAUGGUGCCACUUUAACAGUUUGAGUUAAUUUCGAAUGAGAUUGUUUUUGCAACGAGAUGUUAAUAAGACAAAAUCUAGGUAAGUAGAAGACUUUGUUAAGUGUUAUGUAUCAAAGUAGGAAUAAUACAAAAAAAACUUAUGUUUUAAAAAUGUGUCUUUAAGUUCAGAAUUAAUGAGUUUUUCAAUAAAAUUUUGAAAUAUGAAGAACUGACUUUUUGAUGUACUUGCUCCAGUUGAUUUGGUGGAAGUAACAGUAGAGCUAUGAAAUUGUGGAACUAAAUUCUUCAUUUUCCUUCUUUUAUGUUGAGUUUAAUGCAGUUUCCAGUGACUAUUAAACAUAGAAAAUUGAGUUGGCAUUUGGUUUAGCUAUUCAGAAACCAGUUCAGUAAGAGAUUUGCUAGAUUGCUUCAAUGUUUUCUUAGUGGAUGAUAGUACUUGAGUAGUUUUUGCCUUUGUGAAUUUUACUUUUUUGUUUCUAUUAAUGAAGCCCUUCUACAAAUUGAUUAAAUUUGCCAAAUUGUGUUUUUUUAAUGUUAGUAUAAUGUUCAGAACUGUAAAUGAUAAUAUUUUUCUUAUGAAUAUUUGUACUGAAUGACUUUAUAAUUUAGCAUUGUGCUUUGCUUUAAUUUUUUAAGACUGUUGAUUUUCAGGAAAUUGAAUUGUGAUCAUGUACUUGUUUGGUUUGGUAUAUGGGUUUUCAAUAAUAUAAGCUGUUGAGAUGUUAAAAGGAUACAUUUGCUGUCUUUUGGUAAAUGAACAUGGUUUCAGGAUAUAAGCAGAUUAAAAAGAAUACUUUGAUAAAUUGUAGUUAAUUUGGUCUUUCUCCAGUCUAACCAGAUGUUUCAGCUGUCAGAAACUUGCUGAUUUCAAAGUUAAAAAAAGAAAAAAAAAAGCCCAGAGUGAGAAGUGCUGUAGUUGAGUAAUAUGCAGUUAAACAGUGUAUUCUCAGUAAGUGGUUUAGGCAUAAUUGGAAGGAGAGUUUCACUUUUAUUGCUGUUACAUAAUAAUUGUAAUGACAGUGUGAAGAGUUCUUACUGUGCUCUAUAUUGUGUUAACUGCUUCUCAUGCCUUAUUAAUCUUUAUAGUACUUCUUGUAAGGUAGGUAUUGCUGUAUAGAAAAUUUUUAUUUUUUUUUGUUUAUAGUGAGCUAUUUCUUUUCUUUGGGAAAAGUACACUGUUUUCACAGCAUUUAUUAUAAAGAAUACUUGCCUGUAUAUCUUCUUGUAGGGGAAAAGAAGCUAGACUUUUUUACAUAACGUCUUAUAGGGAUUUUGUUUACUAAUUGAAUAUACAGUGUCUGUUAGAACCUUUAUUCUGAUUUCUUAAAAGUCAGAUAUUGCUUAAGGGAUGACACUGGUUUAAUUUAUUCUGGCCUUAUUCUACCACAAUUAUGUAUGCAUUUUUUUCUUUUUUUAGUAAAAUAUGUACAUUUUUACAUAGAUUAAGUUGUAAUUUAUAUGUGGUAAAAUUUAAAGUAUAGAGCUAAAUGGGGUUUUUACAUACAUGUGCACACAUGUGACUACCAUAGAGGUCAAGAUACAGAACAUUUUCAUUGCCCAGAAAAUUCCUCGUACUCUUGCCUUUCCAAUCCAAUGCCUUUCCCCCUGAGGUAAGCAUCUUUCUGAAUUUUAUCAGCAUAGCUUAAUUUUGCUUGUUCUUGAAUUUUAUGUAUAUAGAAUUCUGUAACAUUAUACUCUUUUGUAUGGCUUUUUCCAAUCAACAUAGUAUUUUUGAGUUUUCUCCAUGUGGUUGUAUCGGAAGUUCAUUGCUUUUUAUUGCUGAGUAAUAUUCCAUGCUACAUAUUUUUUUCUCUAUAAUUUUUUUUAUUCUCCAAGUCUCUGACCUCACUUGCCAGCAUUCUACAUUGCUUUUUUCCCUCUAGUUGUCCCCUUCAUUGUUCCCCUGUCACCUGCGCAAGAAAAUGUAGGCUCUGUAAUAUGGCAUACAGUGGUCUCACUGCAGCUAUUCCAGAAUGCUAGAAUUAUCUGAGUAAAAUAAGUAUGAUGUUUCAUAUAUUUAGUUUUAGUCCUGAUUAAAUGUUGUCACUCUUCCCCAGCCCCUUGUCUCCCCAGCUGCCAUUGUCCUUCCUCCUCGUUGUCAGGUUAUCUCCUGAAAUAGUCCAUCUGAAGCAUUAUCUUGUCCUUUGAGCCAGACCUAACACUUCCGCAGUAGUAUGUUUUCUUUACUGGACUUUGGUGAGCUCUUUGAAGGGAGACACCACCAGUGUCUUACUUAUCUUAGUAGCACAGUGCCAGAGUACUGUGUGUACUUAAUGAAUGUUUGUAAAACAUAGAACACUGAAUAGAGUUCUGUCUCGGACAAGUAGGGAUUGAGAAUACUGGCUGGAAUGGGGUGAGGACAUUGGCACUUCGAUUGCUAUUGCGCUGUAUGAAGGAGCCAAUGAGGCAAUACAGAAGCAGCAUUAUAGACAUUUUGGAAGGAGAAAUAAAACCUCCCUCGAGUCUUCUUUCAGUCCAGUUGAAAAAAAUGGCUCGUAAUGUUCUUAGUUGAGACCUUCAGGAAAACCGUGUUGGUUUUGAUUAUUCUUUUCAAAUGAAGGUAUUAAUCCAUGUUAUGGCAAUUGGAGUGUUUAGUACUAAUGGUAUUCUUUUUGUGAGUUUGUACUACUUAUUUCUUUAAAGAUUUUUAAAGAUGUAUUGGACUAAUACAAGCAGAAGAUUAGGAAGACUGGUCACAUCUAAUAAAGAAAACUUUUUCUCAUUUUCCUGAGGGUAAAAAAAAAUAUUGGAGUAGAGAAGGAAAUUGAAUCAUAGUCUGGAACUAUGAUAACAUUUUUGAUUUCUGUAGCUUAGGAAGCUUGCUGUUUGAAAAAUAUUUUUAAAAAUUUUGUUUUACCUUUCUAGGUCUAUAAUAUAUAUAAAUAAUACACUUUAUUAAGAAAUGAAGCUUUUAGAAUAUUUUAAAGCAUUUUAUACUAGUUUUUUUUCUUCCGUGUUUGAAAUUUGGCUAGUUGGGUUGGCUGUUGUAGUCACCUGGGGGAUUUUUAUGCCUUCUAGCAAGUCCAAAGCAAGGAGAGGUUCUUCCCCACUGGGAUCAAUUUGUUGCUUUUCCUCUCUGCAGCCUCUGCCAUAAAGGUUGAACACAGAGUUGGACAUUGACCCCAUCUCUUGCUGUUUCUUCUGAUCCCUACAAGGAUUUUCAUAGACCUAGAUCUUAUCAAAUGUAGAACUUCAGUUAUUUGUUUUAUUUUAUCAUGGAUGUGAAGUGUGUUUAGUUUUCUUGUUGAUAAAAUUUGAGUAUUCGGAGAAAUUUAACCUUGAGGUUGUUUGACUUAACAUGUAUUUGAAAGAUUUUAGACUAGUUUUUCUUCUCAGAAGCUGAUAGGUAUACCUCAGUUUCAGAUUCUUCCCCUUCGUUUUGUCCUUCAAUAGUUUAUAUGGUCAGCAGCUGCUUUUUUCAUUUCGCAGAGUUCCGAAGUCCAAGGAUUUGAAUUUCUUUAUGAAUAUUUAUCUUAUGUUAGCUAAUUUCCUUAAUUUUCAAAUUAAUCUCUCUAUGCUUCACUUUAGUAGCAGUGUAGUUGUGCUGCCCUUUGUUGUAAUGUGAAAAAGAAAACUUUUAAAUUAACAAAAAUAUAUGUUCUUCAUUCUAGAUGAGAUUGCACAAUGUGCAUUUUACCUUUUUCAAAUAUAUUGCCAAGUAACAUUUAGGAUUUUGGAAAUGUUAUUUUUUAAAGAAGUCACAUAAGCUUAUUUGCAUAAGAGCAAAUAAUAUAGAAAUGUUUCCAAUAAGUAAAACUUCCCUCUCUCACCCAGCUCUGUACUCCCCAUAAAUCAUCAGAAAGAACAGGUAUAUAUUCUGCAUCUUUCUCUUUACACUUGUCAAUUAUAUCUUGGACAUUUUUCCAUAUAUGUAUUACAUUUAAUAUAAUUGUUUCCUUACUGAUAGAGAUACUUGGAUAAAUCUCAGGUUUUUUUCCUGUUUAUAUAAUGCUGCAAUCAAUAUUCUUUACUGUGUAUAUAUUUCACUAAAUUAUUGGAAUUGUGUGAGAAUGUAGGAUAAUUUGUAGCAGUGGAUUGCAGGUGAGUGUAUAUGUGCAUUUUAAUUUCUGAUAUAUAUUGCAAAAUUGCAAUAAGAUUGCAUCACUUAACAUUUUUGUUAGCAGUGUUUGAGAAUAUCUUUCCCCACACCCCACUGAAUAUUAACUUGUGUUUUAAUCCAUGUCAGUGUAAUCAGUGAAAAGUGUAUUUAUUGGUGCAUUUUUUUUAAUUAGAAGGAUUUUAAAUUUCUAGGUCUUUUGAGAAAGCAAAGUUAAUGCGACACGAAUUGGAACAUCAAAUUAAUAAAUUUAACAACAAGCCAAAGUAAUUUUGCUACAAAACAAGCCCACUCAUUAUAGCGUAGCGGUGUUUCAAAUGGUAGAGUUUCUACUGGUCAUUGAGCUCCUUCAUUCUUCUGAUGGGAGACUUUUACUGUGGCAGUGGAGGUGGUGUUGCAGGUCCAGGCACUACCAACUACCAUUUUCACGCAGGAAUCCCGACGCCAGAUCCCCACAGCUUGUCUUUUUAUCUUGGUUUUGCCCCAGAAGGAGCAAGUGUACUUGAUGUGCUGGCUUAUUUCAUUACUCUUCACCAUUUUCCUGAGAGAGGCACCAUAAUGGGUCCUGUAUUUAUGACAAUACCGACUUUCUUGGCGUGCUUAGCUAUGUUGCCACAAACAAGGUCUGAGCCUAGAGAAGGCUGGUGUAUUCCUUUAGUUGUGAGAUUCCUCAAAGGUUUGCUAUGUCCCCUUCAUCAUAACUUAAUUCCAUCAAAGAAUAUAUAAUUGGCAAAGAUUUUUCUCCUUUAUUGUUAAAUCCACCAAUUAACAUACUAUUGUGUUUUAUGUGUUGCAUUCAGUUAUUUAAUAUUGAAUAAUCAGAUUGUUUGUCUUGUUACCUUCAUACUGUUUACUUAGAACACAUAUUUCCUUGUGAUGGAUUUCUUUGUAAUUUGCUCCAAACUAAUGCUAGUGUAGUCUGUAAAUAAAAUAAAAAUAAAAACCAUUACUAAGUAUUAGGUUAAUUAAAUUUAGAUUAAUAACAUGCUGCUCAAAAGCUGUUGUUUCUUGUAACUAAAGCUUUAGAAAACUGUGUGUGUGUAUGUGUGUGUUUACCACCCUCAGCAUGUGUGAUAAGCUGUAAAUGUCUCUUAUCUAGCUUGUAGAAAUUCCUAAAUUUAAGAUAAAAAAAAAAAGAGCUGAGAAAAUCCAUAACAUUAUGAUGGCUUUCUCUGAAUUGUUUUUAUUGCCUUCUUUGGGGUGUAUUUUUUUUUUUGUGUAGUAUUUUCCAAUGUGAUGCCUUUUCUCCUGGAUAUGAUUAUAUCUGUUUGCCUAUACCUCUGAAAACUCAUCCUUGGUUUCACUUUGUUGUUUAAUUUGUCUAAAAGGUUAAGUAGGCUGCAUUGAUUUGUUUUGGAAACUAUUUUCUCAUUCUAUUUUUCCAAAGAAAGUUUCAUCUAGACCUGUACUUGUUAUAAAAGUUUAUCCUCAAAUCUGAAGUGGUUUUCAACUUGACAGUUAAAGGCAAAGUGGCAAAUGUCAUUCCAGUGUGUGAACAGGGAACCAUAAAACUGCCCUGUCAAACUAAAGAAUUUUGAUAUUACUAUAGUUUAACCUUCUGUGGUAGGUCUAAACUAUAAAUAGAGGUGCUAAAUAAAAGAAGAUAUUCAGUAAGCCUUAACUGAAACAUAAUGUUCUAGGCACUUUGCUAUAUGUUAAGUGUGCAUUGGUAAUUUGAAUUCUCAGUGCCAUAUAGCUAAUUAUAGCUCAUGAACAUAAUACUGUCAGGUAUAUAUAGGGGAGUAUAGUUGCACUAACAAGGGAAUUUUGAAGGGAAAGAUCAGGAAGGGCUUUGUUAAAGGAAGGUGGUGUUUGAGUUGGGCCUUGAAGAAAAGAGUAGGAUUUUGAUUGUAGGAUGGCCUUGGGAAAAUGUGGGCAGAAGGGAGUAUGAACUAAAAGUCUUAUUUUAGUUGCUAGAAAUUAUUUUAUAAAAUGGUUUCAUUUAACUGGAUGUCCGUGUUAUCAAAAUUACUGGCAUUUUCUUAAGUGUACUAAAGUUUAUAAUUUAUUAUAGUUUUGGAAGUCAUUAUUUAAAUGGUUUCCUUGUUCUGUUUUUCAAACUUUAUUUUUAUUUUUUAAUUUUUUUUAAGUUUAUUUAUUUAUUUUGAGAGAGAGAGAGUGUGCGUGUACAAAGUAGAGCAGGGACAGAGAGAUGGAGAGACAGAAUCCCAAGCAGACUCUGCACCAUCAGCACAGAACCCGAUGUGGGGCUCAAACUCAUGAACUGUGAGAUCAUGACCUGAGCCGAUAUCAUGAGUCAGAUGCUUAACCACACUGAGCCACCCAGCUGCCCCCUAAACUUUUUUAACAAGUCUAAUUUUGAACCAGUCAAGAAAUAAAUUAUACUGUGAAAGACUCCAUACUGAUCAUUCACUUACAUAUUACACUGUUGUACUUAAGAGUAUGUGAUUUGUAAAUAAUAAAAGACUAGUGUGAAGUCAGAUAGAGAAUUGCAAAGAUAGAAGAAUUACAAUGUAAGUCUUUUGACCUCUAAUCUACUGUUCUUUUGAGAUGACUGACCAUUAAAGAGAUAUUUGAAACAUUUUAGGGUCUUCUAUCAAGGCUGGGAACUAUGGGUAUAUCUGUCAUAUGAUCAGUUAUCAGUAUACUUAAGAUUUUAUUGAUUUAUUCAUUGUUUUCUGAGUUGGUUAUUACAGCUACAUUGGUUUCGGCUCGUAACUGAUACUAGUUAUUAGUAUGAAGAGGAAAGAUGACGAAACAUGUAAUUACAAUAAAAUGUGAUUAGUGUUGUUAGAGUUUGUGUUCCUGGAUGGCAAGGACCACGUCUGUUUUAUUUACUAAUAUGUAAGCACGGAGUAUAGCACUUGACUCUCAAUAAGCAUUUAGUAAAGAUUUAUUGAAUGAUUGAAUGGAAAUAUGCCAAGAAGUGACAUUUAAACUAAAACCUGGAAGAACUGUUAAUGAUUUAUCUAGAUAAAAAUUUGGGGAAGGACUGUUGUUAGCAAAAGAAAUAACAUGUGGAAAAGAUGAGAGAAAAGAGAAGGAAAGAUUGGAGCAACUGAAAAAAAAUGUGUAUCUUUUUUUAAAAAAAUUGUUUAUGUUUAUUUUGAUAGAGAAGGAGCGCAUGUGGGGGAGGGGCAAAGAGAGAGGGAGAGAGAAUCCCACAAACUAUGAGAUCAUGACCCCAGCUGAAAUCAAGUCAGAGGCUUAACUGACUGAGCCACCCAGGCACCCCAAAAAUGUGGCAUAUCUUGAGUGUAGAGUUCUACAUGGAGUGGGGCGGGGGGAGCUGGUAGUGUCAAGAGAUAAAAGGGAGAGUAAGUCUUAAGAUAUUUUAUUGAGGGCUUUAUAAACCAUUUUAAGAAGUUUGGAUUGGGUUGCCUGGGUGGCUCAGUCGGUUAAGCAUCCAACUUUGGCUCAGGUCAUGAUCUCACAGUUGGUGAAUUCAAGCCCCACAUCAAGCUCUGUGCUGACAGCUUAGAGCCUGGAGUCUCCUUCAGAUUCUGUUUCCCUCUGUCUCUGCCCCUCCCCCGCUAAUGAUCUGUUGCUCUCUGUCAGUAGACAUUCAGUAGACAUUAAAUAGACAUUAAAGACAAAAAUAGACAUGCAAAUAGACAUUAAAAAAAAUAAAGGAGUUGGAUUAACUCUAAUGAGACAUCAUUUUAAGGAAUUAAAAUGUGAAGAAGUGACGUGGUCAGAUCUGUUUUUUAGAAAAAACGUCCCUAAUUGGGGCACCUGGGUAGCUUAGCUGGUUGAGUAUCCAACUCUUGGUUUUGGCUCAGGUCGUGAUCCCAGGGUUAUGGGAUCAAACUCUGUGUUGAAUCUCUCUCUCCCUCUGCCCCUCUUUCCCAUAUGUGCUCUUUUGCUCACUCUCUCUCGCUCUCUAACUCUGUC